GUAGUCACUAUUGUCUCUUAAUGUUUUCCUUUGUUUUCUUCUCUAGGUCUGGGAACCCCCCUGCUUCAGUUCUCAUUCCUUACAUAUAUGUUUUUAAGCACUCACUGAAGGAGAAAAUGAUGGAAAUUGGGAUAAGAAAUGGCUGGAAAUAUGAUAGCAGGAAAAAAAGUUUCCUAAUCCAGGAGGUACAGUUCAGAUCACUGGCAAAAAAGCCUGUGAGAUACUGAAAGAUGCCAUCAGAAGAGGGGUGGUCCAGCCAGUGGCUGAAGGCAUGUUUAAAAGGGCUCAAGAGAGGAUGCAGCUCCAAUUUCAGCUCCUGAAGGUACUCUGCAUCGAAAACCAGGGAGUGCACUGUGAGCUGGAGGAAACAGGGUGAGAAAGUGGAAGAAAUAGUAGUUACAUGGGUCCAAAUAGAGUGAGAUGACUUUUAUAAUGUGGGCCCUACAUGUCCAGGAUACAGGGAGGAGGCCUGCCAGUGCUUGGCAUUCUUGCUUCACUGCACUGCAUGCUGGAGUUGGGCCCUAUUCUGGGGCUGUGAAUUCAGAAAUGCAGUCUCUUUGUGUCUCCUGUGCCCUUUCUCUCUAAUAAGUCAUCCAUGUAACAGUCCUGGUGACACCUCAAGUCUAGGACUUGAGCUCUCUUCAUCAACAGGAUUAUCUCAGCCCCCAGCAGCUCUGAGGUAGAUGAUAUUACUGUUCUCUUUUAAUGGAUGAGAAAACUAAGGUAUGGAGAGGUAGGUCCUGCAGCUAAUGACUAAGUUAGAUUUGGGACCAGGUAACCUGGCUUCAGGGUCCUAAGAAGCAUAAUCUCAAUAAUGACUUUUUUAAAAGAGAGAAACCCUUAUGUACCUAAAAAUUUAGUCAUUAAAUAAAUGCCAAUAAACUACUGUAGGUCGAUCAGUUAUAGUGCGU
rnacentral:lncRNA from 1 species